GACGAACGCUGGCGGCGUGCCUAACACAUGCAAGUCGAGCGAAGUGAGUACUACGGUACGAACUUAGCGGCGGACGGGUGAGUAACGCGUGGACAAUCUACCCUGUAGACUGGGAUAACACCUCGAAAGGGGUGCUAAUACCGGAUAAUGUCGAGAAGCGGCAUCGCUUUUCGAAGAAAGGAGAGAAUCCGCUAUAGGAGGAGUCCGCGUCCCAUUAGCUAGUUGGUGAGGGUAACGGCGCACCAAGGCGACGAUGGGUAGCCGGCCUGAGAGGGUGAACGGCCACACUGGAACUGAGACACGGUCCAGAAUCCUACGGGAGGCAGCAGUGGGGAAUAUUGUGCAAUGGGGGAAACCCUGACACAGCAACGCCGCGUGAGCGAAGAAGGCCUUCGGGUUGUAAAGCUCAAUAGUAUGGGAAGAUAAUGACGGUACCAUACGAAAGCCCCGGCUAACUACGUGCCAGCCGCCGCCGUAAUAC
rnacentral:rRNA from 1 species